rnacentral:rRNA from 1 species
GUAUAAUUAAGCGGAGGAAAAGAAACUAACAAGGAUUCCCCUAGUAAUGGCGAAUGAAGCGGGAACAGCUCAAAUUUAAAAUCUCUUCGGAGAAUUGUAGUUUGCAGAAGUGCCUUCGUUAACAGCCUGGGUAUAAGUCCCUUGGAACAGGGCAUCAUAGAGGGUGAGAAUCCCGUACAUGAUCCAGGUACUGUUGCGUAUGAUGUACUUUCAAAGAGUCGGGUUGUUUGGGAAUGCAGCCCAAAAUGGGUGGUAUAUUCCAUCUAAAGCUAAAUAUUGGCGAGAGACCGAUAGCGCACAAGUA